GAGAGGAGGUGUUCUCCUUAAAGAAAGGCGAAGUCUGCUUCGCAAGCGCUAAAGAACACGCGUCCGCAUAUAAACUCAUCGCUCCGCACAAUCUCAAAUCGAGCAGACGUGUGCCUCCGCUUUUCGUUGUCUUCCCCACCCCCUGACCGCGCUCCCGUCUGAGCGCUCAUCAUCAUCAUCUCUCUCUGCGAUCCCGACAGCUCGUCUUGCGAGUAACACUGCUCUCCACACAGCUGAUCGCUACGUUAUGCAUCGUCGAACACGCAGUGGGCGUGAAGGUAAAGGAAGCUUGUAGGCGUGUCUGUGCUUGCUUCUCUGUGGCUGUCUUCCUUCUGCGGCUCCGCUGAGGUCUUUGUUAUGUAACGGCGAGGACAGGCCGGAGAGGUGUACACAAGAUACUUGUCCUCCGCCGCUUUUCUCUCUGUCUGUCCACACACACACACACACACACACACACACAGAUAAUGAGAGAAGUGCGGUGCGUCUUCCACCUUCACCAUCCCUGAUUACACACGCGCGCAGUUCUUUCGAGUUGAUUCGUUUUCUGCUGCUCCCGCGGCCGGUGCCUGCGCUCAUAAGUAGACGAACCUCCCGGCAACCCCCCUUCCCUCGCUCGCUCUCUGCGAGCCCUUCUCUCUCCAACACUCACACACAACAAACACCACCACCACGACGAGACGUUGGCAUUUUAGUUGAGAAAGCCAUGAUGCGUGCAGUAACGUUGAAGGGCCUCGGCGGCAUUGCCACAAUGUCCAUCAGCGAGGUCCCCAAGGCGGCCGUGAAGAAGGGAACGGAUGUGCUUAUAAAGGUCAUGGCAGCUGGCGUGAAUCGGGCAGGUGUGUCGCAGCGGCGCGAUAACUAUGCGCCACCAGACGGUGCGAACGAACUUUUAGGACUGGAGGUGGCGGGUAUCGUAGAGCAGGUAGGCUCGGACGUGGCAGGUAGAGUCAAGGAGGGCGAUCGGGUGAUGGCACUGCUGCCCGGCGGUGGCUACGCAGACUACGCCGUAGCGCACAUGGGCUGUGUGAUGGCGAUGCCGCAGGGCUACACCUUCACGGAGGCCGCCGCCAUCCCAGAGACGUUCAUCAGGGCGUGGCAGAUUCUUCAUCGCCAUGGAAAGGUGAAGCGGGGGCAAAAAGUGCUGAUUCACGCCGGUGCCAGCGACAUCGGCAGCGCGUCGGCACAGAUCACGGAGAAGUACUUCAAAGCAACCGCUAUCACGACCUCUUCCGAGGAGAAGCUGGAUGUGUGCAAGGCGCACGCAAGCGUGACGCUGAGCCGCACGCCGGACGAGCUUGGCUUGGCCUUUGCGCCGAAGCUGAAGCGCCUCUUCGGCGAGGAGAGUGUGAACGUGAUUGUCGAUCCAGUGUUUGGUGGAACGUACCUCAGUGAGAAUGCCCAAGUGCUCGCCCCCAAUGGCCAUCUCAUUGUCAUUGCCUUCAUGGGCGGGGCGUUGGUGCACAUGAAUGCCCUGCCGCUCUUUCGGGAGAGGGCUAAGAUCACCUUCUCCAAGCUGCACUGCCGCAGUGACCAGUACAAGGCCGGCCUCGUCACCUCCUUCGAGCGCGAGAUCGUGCCCUACAUGAGCGAACGCAUCAUCUGUACGAUCGUGGACCGCACCUUCCCGCUGGAGGAGGUGACCAACGCGUACAAGUUUCUCGCGGAGAACCACGGCCACGGCAAGGUGGUCUUGACCGUUUGUGAGCCAUCAAAGCUGAGCAUGUAGAAGAGGAGGGACCAGGAACGAGGCUGGACACAGUAGAAACACUGAGGAAGUUUCUAGUGGGUGCUUUCCCUCCCUCUUCGCUCAAGGAAAGAGGAGAAGAGGGGGGGGUCACUUGAUGUGUUUUGCACCCGAUCUUCGUGUAUUCCAACCCUGCCGUUGCGCAUCUCAGCUUGUAUUAUCCUUUGGUGCUCUUCUGCACACGCGUGCCAUGCGCGUACUGUCUUUUCGGCUCAUCUCCCUUCUUCCUCCCUCGCUUUCCUUUGGCGGUAUGACGCGGCAACG
rnacentral:misc_RNA from 1 species